rnacentral:tRNA from 1 species
GUCCUCGUAGCUCAGUAGGAUAGAGCGAUUGCCUCCUAAGCAAUAGGUCGUUGGUUCGAUUCCAAUCGGGGACACCA